GACGAGCAUCACAAACGUUAUUCGGAAUUACUGGGCUUAAAGGGUGCGUAGGCGGUGCAGCAAGUCGGGAGUGAAAUCCCACAGCUCAACUGUGGAAUUGCUUUCGAUACUGCUGUGCUUGAGUGAGAUAGAGGUAAGCGGAACUUAGGGUGGAGCGGUGAAAUGCGUUGAUAUCCUAAGGAACACCGGUGGCGAAGGCAAGGUGCUGGACCCUCUCUGACGCUGAGGCGCGAAAGCCAGGGGAGCGAACGGG
rnacentral:rRNA from 1 species